rnacentral:SRP_RNA from 1 species
GCCGGGUGUGGUGGCUCGCGCCUGUAAUCCCAGCACUUUGGGAGGCUGAGGUGGGUGGAUCACCUGAGGUCUGGAGUUCGAGACCAGCCUGGCCAACAUGGUGAAACCCCAUCUCUA